rnacentral:rRNA from 1 species
GACGAACGCUGGCGGCGUGCUUAACACAUGCAAGUCGAACGGAAAGGCCCUGCUUUUGUGGGGUGCUCGAGUGGCGAACGGGUGAGUAACACGUGAGUAACCUGCCCUUGACUUUGGGAUAACUUCAGGAAACUGGGGCUAAUACCGGAUAGGAGCUCCUGCUGCAUGGUGGGGGUUGGAAAGUUUCGGCGGUUGGGGAUGGACUCGCGGCUUAUCAGCUUGUUGGUGGGGUAGUGGCUUACCAAGGCUUUGACGGGUAGCCGGCCUGAGAGGGUGAGCGGCCACAUGGGAACUGAGAUACGGCCCAGACUCGUACGGGAGGCAGCAGUGGGGUAUAGUGCACAAUGGGCGGAAGCCUGAUGCAGCAACGCCGCGUGCGGGAUGACGGCCUUCGGGUUGUAAACCACUGUCGCCUGUGACGAAGCGUGAGUGACGGUAAUGGGUAAAGAGGCACCGGCUAACUACGUG